rnacentral:rRNA from 1 species
GACGAACGCUGGCGGCGUGCUUAACACAUGCAAGUCGAACGGAAAGGCCUCUUUCGGGGGGUACUCGAGUGGCGAACGGGUGAGUAACACGUGAGUAACCUGCCCUUGACUUUGGGAUAACUUCAGGAAACUGGGGCUAAUAUCGGAUAGGAGCUCCUGCUGCAUGGUGGGGGUUGGAAAGUUUCGGCGGUUGGGUAUGGACUCGCGGCUUAUCAGCUUGUUGGUGGGGUAGUGGCUUACCAAGGCUUUGACGGGUAGCCGGCCUGAGAGGGUGACCGGCCACAUUGGGACUGAGAUACGGCCCCGACUCCUACGGGAGGCAGCAGUGGGGAAUAUUGCACAAUGGGUGGAAGCCUGAUGCAGCAACGCCGUGGGCGGGAUGACGGCCUUCGGGUUGUAAACCGCUUUCGCUCAUGACGAAGCUUUGUGUGACGGUAGUGGGUAAAGAAGCACCGGCUAACUACGUG